CUCAUUUCGCAUACAAUCAUAUUUCACAUUUCACUUGAUUUACCAUUUAACCAACCUACAUCCUAAUCUAUCACCUCAGUGCAUCAUUGGAUAAACUGAAGGAAAUAUACAGGAACAUGUAGUGCAUCAUCGGAUAAAUCGAAGGAAAUAUACUAGCACAUGUAGUGCAUCAUUGAACAAACUGAAGCAAUUAUACUAGCACCUACAGUGCAUCAUCGAAUAAACCGAAGUAUAACCUACGCAUUUAAUAGACAACCAC
rnacentral:lncRNA from 1 species